GAUGAAGAACGUAGCGAAAUGCGAUAAGUAAUGUGAAUUGCAGAAUUCAGUGAAUCAUCGAAUCUUUGAACGCACAUUGCGCCCGCCGGCACUCCGGCGGGCAUGCCUGUCCGAGCGUCAUUUCAACCCUCAGGCCCGAACCCCCCCGGGGGGGGCGGGCCUGGUGUUGGGGCUCGGGGUCCGCGAGGCCCCCGUCCCCUAAAUCCAGUGGCGGUCGCGCCGCACCCUCCCCUGCGUAGUAGCACACCUCGCACCGGAGAGCAGCGCGUCCACGCCGUGAAACCCCCAACUUACCAAGGUUGACCUCGGAUCAGGUAGGAAUACCCGCUGAACUUAAGCAUAUCAAUAAGCGGAGGA
rnacentral:misc_RNA from 1 species